AAAGACCCCAGCUUAGCAGCAGUAACGCCAUUUUGCAAGGCUGUACUUAAGAUGACUGGUUCAGGGAAAGGUUAGAACACUGAGUACACAGCGGCUGCCAAGCAGGAUGUGUUUGGUUGAAGGCCUGGCAACAGGACGACUGCAGUUGAGCACCUGACAAUGAGAAAAGCCCCGGGAGAGGUCCCACACCCUGGUGGGGGGGCCGAGUCAGCCGUUAUGUUCCAAGAAGGUAGCUAAGAAACUUGCCCCCGGGCUGAACCCUUGGGGGGCCGAGUCAGUCGUUAUGUUCCAAGAAGGUAGCUAAGAAACUUGCCCCCGGGCUGAACCCUUGGGGGGCCGAGUCAGUCGUUAUGUUCCAAGAAGGUAGCUAAGAAACUUGCCCCCAGGCUGAACCCUUGGGGGGCCGAGUCAGUCCUUAUGUUUCAGGAAGGUAGCUAGGAAACUUGCCCCCGGGCUAAACCCUUGCCAUAUUAGAAUCCACCAAUUAUAUCCCUGUAACCAUGCAUCUGCUUCUGUAUGCUUGCUUCUGCUCCCCAAAAUCCUAUAAAAGCCCAUCCUUGGUUCCGUGGGGCGCGCCAGUCCCCCGAGUGACUGAAGCGCCCGCAGGUGCCUGUGCCUGUGUAUCCCGACAAUAAACCAAAUCCUCUUGCUGAUU
ensembl:lncRNA